rnacentral:rRNA from 1 species
AGCAGCCGCGGUAAUUCCAGCUCCAAUAGCGUAUAUUAAAGUUGUUGCAGUUAAAAAGCUCGUAGUUGAAUUUCGGGAUCGAUGCGUUGGUCGUGCUUUUUGGUACGUACUGGCGUCAUCGGUUUCUCCUUUCUGACGAGCCGUGAUGUCAUUAAUUUGGUGUUACGGGUAGUUAGGACUGUUACUUUGAAAAAAUUAGAGUGUUUAAAGUAGGCAUUGGCUUGAAUACAUUAGCAUGGAAUGAUGAAAUAGGACGUUCGAUCCUAUUUUGUUGGUUUCUAGGAUCAACGUAAUGAUUAAUAGGGAUAGUUGGGGGCAUUAGUAUUCAAUUGUCAGAGGUGAAAUUCUUGGAUUUAUUGUAAGACAUAACUACUGCGAAAGCAUUUGCCAAGGAUGUUUUCAUUAAUCAAGAACGAAAGUUAGGGGAUCGAAGACGAUCAGGUUACCGUACGUAGUCUUCAACCAUAAACUAUGCCGACUAGGGAUCGGAUGAUGUUAAUUUUUUAAUGACUCA